CCUAAGUGGCCGGAAAGCUGGUUGGAGUCAAAUUUCAUUUAUAUAACAACAGUUUCGGGAUGAUUUAAGUCUAAGCAAAUAAUGGCUUUUCCUACGACUGACUGGUCUGUAGUUAUUGCGGAUAACAAGACAAGCAGAACAAUUAAAACUCUGUCUCCGUGUGCUUACACUGACAGCAAAGGCAUAGAACGAUUGGCGACAUUUUCCGCACUGUCGAAUAAUGUUAUCAUAGAGAAGAUAUUUGCCGUCCGACUCGCGUCAUCUGGAUGUAUAUUCAAUGCUGAAGAGAAUUUCGUAGAAUGCACAGAGUGUGGAAAAAAAACUACAUUGGCCAAAGUUUGGGCGAUCACGACCCUCUCCGACGAAAGGACUUUUCAUACAUGCAGGCCAAUGUGUUGUGGUUUAUUGGCUUACAUAAUGAAACAGGAGAAUGAAGAACGAGAAGGAAUCUGCAACG